rnacentral:rRNA from 1 species
UACGUAGGUGGCAAGCGUUGUCCGGAUUUACUGGGCGUAAAGAGCGCGCAGGCGGUUAUUCAAGUCGAAUGUGAAAGCCCCCGGCUUAACUGGGGAGGGUCAUUCGAUACUGUUUAACUUGAAGGCAGGAGAGGGUAGUGGAAUUCCCGGUGUAGUGGUGAAAUGCGUAGAUAUCGGGAGGAACACCAGUGGCGAAGGCGACUACCUGGCCUGUUCUUGACGCUGAGGCGCGAAAGCUAGGGUAGCAAACGGG